GUGACAAAUGACAUGUUUCAAAAGUCUUCAAAUUUGUUGACAAAGGAAGAUGACGGUAAACCUUUAAUAUUUAUUCUACUCUAUCAACUUUAUGGGUAAGGCGCAAAUGCUAUAACGACUUUCGUCGUCAUUUAAAACAAUAAAUUAAAAUAUUAUAUGAUCACAAGCACAACCCUUACCAAUAUUAUUCGUCUACAUAUCUUUACUACAAAAUAUUAAAAAUGCAAAAAAUUAACGUUAAUUGGUACGGAAUAUUUGUUGACGCAUAUUACUAUUCUAGUAAUUAUUUGAUUUUUACUAUCACAGUUAUUGUUUUGUCAAUAUUUUGUGUGUGGAUAUACGAAAAGCCUAAAUUUUAUAAGUUGAUAUGUAAAAUUAGCAAACAUUCGAAUAUUUUGAGUCCGAUACAAAGCUCUGAUCAAAUGGAAAACGAACAACCUGCUUGGGAUCAUGGUGAAAUGUCAACCACUAUAAUGGAUAAGAGAAUUGAAGUAAAGAAUUAAUGUUAUUUUCUAGCUAGCUAGGAAAUGUUUUAUUAGUGAUAUAAAUCAGUUGUAUUUUUAACAUUUAUAUUGUAAUCAAAAUGAAUAAAACCUAAAAUACUUUAAAAAAA